rnacentral:rRNA from 1 species
UACGUAGGGUGCAAGCGUUGUCCGGAAUUAUUGGGCGUAAAGAGCUCGUAGGCGGUCUGUCGCGUCGGAUGUGAAAAUCAGGGCUCAACCCUGGACCUGCAUUCGAUACGGGCAGACUAGAGUUCGGUAGGGGAGACUGGAAUUCCUGGUGUAGCGGUGAAAUGCGCAGAUAUCAGGAGGAACACCGAUGGCGAAGGCAGCUCGCUGGGACGGUACUGACGCUGAGGCGCGAAAGCGUGGGGAGCAAACAGG